GAUGAACGCUGGCGGUAUGCUUAACACAUGCAAGUCGAACGGACUCUUCGGAGUUAGUGGCGGACGGGUGAGUAACGCGUGAGAAUCUGGCUUUGGGUUCGGGACAACCACUGGAAACGGUGGCUAAUACCGGACGUGCCGAGAGGUAAAAGAGAAAUUGCCUGAAGAUGAGCUCGCGUCUGAUUAGCUAGUUGGUGAGGUAAAGGCUCACCAAGGCAGCGAUCAGUAGCUGGUCUGAGAGGAUGACCAGCCACACUGGGACUGAGACACGGCCCAGACUCCUACGGGAGGCAGCAGUGGGGAAUUUUCCGCAAUGGGCGAAAGCCUGACGGAGCAAUACCGCGUGAGGGAAGAAGGCUCUUGGGUUGUAAACCUCUUUUCUUAGGGAAGAACAAAAUGACGGUACCUAAGGAAUCAGCAUCGGCUAACUCCGU
rnacentral:rRNA from 1 species